UGUAAGAAGGAGAUGUAUUUAGUGUAUAAUGGGAUAGGGUGGUUUUAAUCACACUGGGCAUUCACGACCGCUGGUGAGAAGGCUAUUUUCCAAGUUUUUUCCAUGUUUAUAAAAGAAAUUAUCUUUCUAUGAAAAGAAAACACAAUCUGUUAGGAAAACACAAUUUGCAUUAUCGUAAUGAUAGAAUUUAUUAUCAUAAUUUGAAUUAUUUUCUUUAUUCUGUAACAGAAAUAAAAACAAAAUGUGUGUUUGGGCCAAAAUGGGGGUGGGUUAACAUCAAUCAAAGUCUGAUUAUGACAGGCUAAUGAAAAAUCAUAUUGAUUUCUCUUUUAUCCAAAUGCAUGUAUUUUAUAUACACUUAGUAGCUUAUGACCAUAAAUUACAUGUGAUCCAUACAUACUGGUACUUGUAUGCUAUAACCUGAUGGGCAAGUGUCCCCUUCUUGCCGGCCUCUUCCGUGGCCGAGUGGUUAGAGCAUUGCGUAUAAUAUAUGCUAGGCAUAAUGCAGAUACCUACAUGAUACAUUUUUUUUCAUUACACACUCUGCUACUCUCGCAAUGUAUAAUAAAAUAUUCGAUUCAUUUCUAACACAUGUAUGCAAUCCCUUACCUUAUCUUUAAAUAAAUUUGAGUAAAUAAAUUUAAGUGCGAAACUGUUCCAUGCUACCGUGAAAUAGAUUUUGCUUUUUAAACAUAAACCAACAAUUCUUAAUUGUAAUUUCUUUUCUUCUUUAAAAAGGGUAUUGACAUCCCAAUAUUUAGUGGGAAGUUCCCAGGUAUCAUCCGCUAGCGACAGUCUACUGACAAAUCCAGACAUGCAUUGGAAGGAUGCUGAUGUGGAGGACACAGGAACACCUGAUCCCAGAACUGUGGCAUUUCAUUCGGGGUGACAACCUGGCUUUCAGUUGGUAUGACUCUUUGAGGUUGAAUAUAGGGUUUAAUCAGUAUAAAUUUGAUUAACAUUCAAAUAAAUCCAGAUAAUACAUUCACAAUUGGAAUCAUGGCAUUAUGGUACACUGAUAUGUGUGUACCAUUUUACUGGGUUUUUUUUUUUUUUUUUUUUUUUUUGCUGCAUAACUAGGGAUCGUAUACAUACAAAAUGAGACAAUUUAUAAUUAGUUUCUAAUUAUAAGGUAUGACACGUUUUAAGGUAUGGUGGCCAAUACUGAUUUUAUUUGCAAUUUUCUUUCAGAUAUGGGACUCUAUUAUUCGGAGAACUGCAGAUUUUAUGAAGCUGUCUUUGACAGAAGAUUUUGUUUUCUCUAUCUGUGUUGCCACCAACCAUUAUGCUGAGAUAGUCAUAUCUAGGGGGAAGGGUUGCCAUAUACUUCCCAAGGAAGUUUGCAGCCUCUCACUGAAGAGGAACUGUACAGAUUUUUGUGCAUUAUCUUAUACACGCCUGCUGUGAAGUUCCAGUCGAUAGACAGAUAUUGGUCAACGCAUGCCCCUGUCGGAACAACUCGUUAUCAAGAAUUAUGUCUAGAAAUAGGUUUCAAGAGGUUGAAUAUAAAAACAUUUUUGUUAAAUAUGAUGCAAGUACAUUUAAAUCUAGUGAUUGAAAGUAAGUACUUGAACAUUCGUUUAUGUUGAAUUUGGAGAGGAAAAAUAGUUAGUACUUUUUGAUAACAUUUGAUAAGGUGUUGUUGCUUAGCAACCAAAUAUAAUUGAAUAAAAAAUAGAUUAUUUUAGAUUAACAAUAAUUGAAAGAUCUUUGUUUUAAUGUUGCAAUACUUAUUCUAUUUAAUGGAACAUAAUGGCAAAACAUCAUAUUAUUAGAAAAUGAUGGACAAGUAUAUAAAGUACGAAGUUUCCAUUUGAUGACCUUUGACCUUAAUUCUCUUGACUAUAUUUUUUGUUAAAAACCUUUUAAAAUGAUUAAGAUCUAUUUAAAGAUUAUAUUUUUAAAAUAAUGUGACAUUUACUAAUCAUCAUGGAUUGUAAUUACGUUUAAAUUGUGUCGAAUGGAUGCAGAAAGGCAAAUUAUGGUCAAAAUUGUACUAUGAGUGUUGUUACUUAGCAACCAAAAAUAUUUGUUUGUCAAUAAAAUUGAUUAGUUUGA